ensembl:lncRNA
CUUGAAUCCACUUGGGGACAAGUUACAUACGUCAUUUACCAGCUUGGGGUGAGGACCUGAGGUCAGCUUGCAGUUACAUUUUUUUGCAUGUGAAUAAAAUGCACCUUUAUUCUCUCCUUUUCAUUUCUUUUGAAUUUGAAAAGUGGGUUUCAGUUCCCCAGACCUUACAUUUUCCUAGCUAAAGCGUGUUUCGCAUGCAGAUGUAGUUAGAUAACAAAGAGGCAUGUUUGUGUUGUAGUGACUACAUUAAAAAAAAAGAUACUGCUGAAUUGUAAGUUGCAUUUUUAGAGCACGCUAAACUGAAGUGCGAGGGUCAUUUGUCUGCCGCUGCAGCUCAGCUGGCUUCCUGUUUCCCUUGUAAUGAUUGAGGACGCCGUUCAGGGAGGCCACGCCCCUACUCUUAAUUCUUAGGGCCUGCUGCUUCCAUCACGAGUACGCGUGCUUGUCACCCGCUCCGGGGGCAGCUCAGUUGCCGCACGUGUUUUUUACGGCGUGUUUGCUGGGUGAGGGUGUUUUACUCAAAUUUGGUCAUUUCGUCAAGUUGCCGGGACACAGGCGUUUGUUCACCCUGCCACAUCCUGGAGGUUAUGCUGCGGAGGGGCCUCUGAUGAGUACAGGAGCCUGGUGUUUUAGACAGUCCCUUUAUGAGACCACCUCCCCGAGGCCCACCACUGGGCACUGAUGCCAGCCGCAGUUCUGAGAGGCUGACAGUCUGCUGAACCCUCUACCGCUAAUGUCGCAAUCGGGGAGCUGGAGGUCCCAGAGCCCUGAGAAUCAGCUCAUGGACUUGGCCUUUGGAGCACUCAACGGUAGAGUUAAGGUGAAGAAGACGACGACUCAGGGACAGCAGCCGGAGUCACCGUCACUGGUGGCAGCCCCAACGCCUGCACCACGUCAGGCUUGCAUCCCUGCAGAAGCCCACGUGGGGACAGGGUCCAGGAAGCCUGGGUCAGAGCCACUGCCUUUCCAGGAAAGGGUCGAUCUGCUUUAAGUGCGGCCAAGAGGACCACUGGAAAGACGAGUGCCCCCUGCGUGGGAAAGUCCGUUGGAAAAAAAAAAAAAAGAAAGUCCGUCGGGACCCUGCCCACCACACAGAUGACAGGAUGAUGGCAAAAACUCAGCCCCUGUGUCCCAGAGCCGAACCGAAUUUUGGAGACAGUGUUUUGGAUGAAAUAGAAAAGACGAGCUUUAUUGCUUUGCCAGGCAGAGGGGACAGACAGCAGGCUCCUGCCCUGAAAAGCUGUGUGUCCCAACCUGGGAGGAUUUGGUGAG